UGGCCGCUUCGGGCUGGUAGAUUCAAGUCCCGACCGUUCGGACUUUAGGGACCCCAUUCAGUGAUCCGGGAAUAUGGCCGCUUCGGGCUGGUAGAUUCAAGUCCCGACUGUUCGGUCUUUUGGGACCCCAUUGAGCACUCCGGGAAAACGGCCGCUUCAGGCUGGUAGAUUCAAGGUUUGUGGCAAAACGCAAACCCGUAGGCCGA